GCCUACGGCCAUACCACCCUGAAAGCGCCCGAUCUCGUCUGAUCUCGGAAGCUAAGCAGGGACGGGCUUGGUUAGUACCUGGGUGGGAGACCGCCUGGGAAUACCAGGUGUUGUAGGCU
rnacentral:rRNA from 1 species